GAUGAACGCUGACAGAAUGCUUAACACAUGCAAGUCAACUUGAACUUCGGUUUGGGUGGCGGACGGGUGAGUAACGCGUAAAGAACUUGCCUCACAGCUAGGGACAACAUUUGGAAACGAAUGCUAAUACCUGAUAUUAUGAUUUUAGGGCAUCCUAGAAUUAUGAAAGCUAUAUGCGCUGUGAGAGAGCUUUGCGUCCCAUUAGCUAGUUGGAGAGGUAACGGCUCACCAAGGCGAUGAUGGGUAGCCGGCCUGAGAGGGUGAACGGCCACAAGGGGACUGAGGCACGGCCCGUACUCCUACGGGGGGCAGCAGUGGGGAAUAUUGGAAAAUGGACCAAGAGUCUGAUCCAGCAAUUCUGUGUGCACGAUGAAGUUUUUCGGAAUGUAAAGUGCUUUCAGUUGAGAAGAAAAAAAUGACGGUACCAACAGAAGAAGUGACGGCUAACUACGUG
rnacentral:rRNA from 1 species